rnacentral:misc_RNA from 1 species
AAAUAGCCCUGAUCGAGCGGCAUGUCUGAGCUCUUUUUCUUUGCAAAAGAAAAAAGCGAGUAGCGAGAGCAGGUUCCCGG